AGCUGCAGUCGAGAUCAUUCGCAAUGGGCGCAAGCCUGACGAUGCGACGCCGUGUGGACGAUGAAGGCCUUCGGGUUGUAAAGUCCUUUCGCUUGGGAACAAGAGAGGUCGACUAAUAAUCGGCUAAUUUGAGGGUACCAGGUAAAGAAGCACCGGCUAACUCC
rnacentral:rRNA from 1 species